CUGCUGGGCCAGCAAACUGCUGAGUCAAGACUGGGGCAAUCACGUGGAAUGCCAAAAAAAGAAACCUUUGUGCUGAGGUGAAGGGAUCGGAGCCCAGGCUGCAGCGGGCGGCUGCAGUGUUUCCUGCAAAAGCCCACUGAGAGCUCACGCUGUGACACAGCUGGAAAAACAUGUUCCCAGCCUGCACGCAGAAGCAAAGCUCUAAAACAGAGGAGCUUCAAGCUGACAAACAGCCCCGCUUGAAGGAGUUAAGCUGAAGAGCACUCAUCACUAAAAGCAUAACAUCUGCUGCAUGCCAGCUACUUUCCCUAAGUAGACAAUGGUGGCCCCGGAUGCCUACCAGUAGUUACGCUGUAACAGUGUCAAAGGUUAAGGCAGAUUUUCUGCAGAUCAUGUAAAGAACUGUACUACAGUUACUAGAGGGUGACAGUAAGUAAUUCAGUAGGAGAAAAAAACCACCUGCUCCAUCUGUCAACUGAGGACUGCAUACAAAGAAGCCUGAGAAAACUUCCCAACAAGAAAAUACAGAAUUAAACAAUGGACCAAAAAAGCAGUAAGGAUGGGAGACAUCCAAUACAAAACAGACACACACACCCCCUCUCUCACAUGUAGGCCCCUGAAAGUGGGAUCACAGUGAUAAAAGUUAGAGAUCAUAGAGCGGUGUGAAAGACAUCUGUCAUAUCAGGGGACUCUCCUCUUCAGACCCAGAGUCAAAUGGAAUUAUGAAGACCAGAUACUUUCUUGCAGCUUCCUGCACAUCUUACUAAAUAACAUGCAAAGAGUUCAACAGCAUUCUUCUUAAAAUGUAAAUAGUACUCUUUAAAUGGGCAUGUUAACCACUGAAAGAAGUCCACUCUACUAUACUCCUCCAUUACACUGCUUUCAUUCAGUCAUCGGUAGUAUAAAAAGUCAAUUAACGGGAUUAACAGGCUAGUUUAUCCACUGGCAAUUGCGUAUGACACCAAGUGUGCAGUAAAACAAAGGCCAACAUAUGUUUACGCAAUAUAGUUGUACUGAUUUGGGUUUUCUUUAUCUCUUUCCAUGUAGUCUCUGUCAAUUAAGGAUUCUAUUCUCUUCUUAAGGUCAGCAGGCUGUAAAUUAAAGCAGAUGUCAGCAUUAUUAUUUUGUAGUCGACGCUUCUCAAUCCUACCUAAGCCAAAUAUCCAUACUGCUUGAGAUGACUGAUGAACCAUAUUAUAACUUACAUCUCUCAACACAUCAAAGCUUCUUAAACUUGCAGUGUGCAAUUAAAGAGAAAGUUACAAGAUUAGACAGAAUGCACCAUAUAUCUGAGCUCAGAUGUUAUCACAGAAUCACAGAAUCUAUGUUAUCUAAGCUAUGUCACUGUCUUUUGGAAAAUCAGUUUGCACUUGUACACAGUAAGCUAUUCUUUCUCAUAUUGCAUCUGUUACUACUAACAAACUCCCAGUUCUGAAAACCUUUACUAUGUUGUACUAAUGAAGAGGUUAACAUUCAGAUAAACUAAUGAAACCGACACUUUAAAAAAUCCUGAAAUUACGUACUUUUUGUUCCUUCUAUCAGGAAAGGGAACACAUGUUUCAGAUAGAAGCACUGUUUAACUGAGAACAGGUCAAGGAAUGUGAAGAGAGGUAAUACAUUUUGAAAACAAAAGAAAUCAGUACUACACCUUUACUGGGAAUUUAAGCUGGUUGUAGACCUCUGACACAAGCAAGUUAUGACUCAGUGUUUUUCGCAUCUUCAUAAUUCGAACAAUAGCGGCAUCAAUCUGGUAUUGCCGGUCCUGGAAUACUCUCUCUGUAGUGCUUGCCUGUUCCUCUACCUGAUGGAUCCAUUUAAAAAGAGUUUUAAAGAGAACAUCAGAACUGUUGAAUCCAUUCUUCUUCAUAUCUAAGACAAGUCUUAUUGUGAGACACUAAAAGGUCUACUGUAAAAUACUGGACAUAAAUCCUACAAAAUAUGGAAGUCCACUGUCUUAAGAACUUGUACUCAAGAGCAAAAUCUUUGCACAACUUUUACAUUGGUUGGCAAAUUCACAGUGAAUUUGUUUCUAUGUUCACAAAUCAGUAAAGGUCUAGGGAAUGAUUAAGGGUGAACAGAACAUUCAUACUUGGAACCUCUGCUAAUCAACCUUAGAGAUGUCAAGGAUGAUCGAUAUCUAAGUUAGCACAGAAGCUCACGUUUAAAUCUCCACUAUUAAGUGGAGAUAUCAUCCAAAGAGAUAUCAUCCAAAAUACAUGUGCAUCCUUCACACAGAUACCAUUAUGUACAUUACAACCGAGAGGAAUAAAGCUUGUAAAUGGGCAAGCAAUGAGAUACUUAACCCAAGAAUAAAAAACCUAGAGUAUUAGAAAAAACAACAAAAAAUAUACCGUUUCUUUCAUCUGAAUUUGGUUGAUUUUUAUCCUGAACAGCUUAUGUCUGAAAUCAUCAUUGCAUGUGAAUUUAUCACCAUCUUCCACAUCUUUUCCUUUGGGGCUCUUUGUCAGUACUCUAGCUUUGCCACAAGCCAGAGACUGAAGUGUCCUUCGCAGCUCUCCAUCCUCUAAAGCAGAAACAAGUUGUUCAGUAUUUUCACUCAAGAGCACACUUGAAGCAGUCAGUGUUUUUAGUACCAACCUAUCCCAGUGGCUUGCUUUAUCUCCUCUAGACUGAACUCCUCUCCUUCAUUAAACAUGAGCAGCACUAGUGUCUGGAACAAGGAGACCUGAAGUUCUUUUUUGCCCUAUCACAGAGGAAAUAACAGACAUCAUUAGGUUGUUCUCAGGGGGGAUCAACUCACUCUUCCAUGUAAAUUAUUUCACUUACAGGAUGCAGUUGUUCCUUAUUCAUUUUAGAAUAUGAAAGAAUAAAAGUUAUUGUUCUCCUCAUGUUUACUAUGAAAUGCAGAGCAAGACAGAGGUCAGAUUAGACUACCAUACCCACUGACAAAAUUUGCUAAUGUAUGUAUCAAAUUUAGACACAUUCAAAUCCAAAGCGUGCUUAAAAUUACAAUUUGAAAGACCUUUAAUCCAAACUGUAAGACGAGCAUUAGUCUAAAAACAUAGUUGCUAUUACUAUCUCUUUAAUAACUAAGUUGGAUAACACUUGUUUUAUCAUUAACAUUAUGAAAAACAAAACUUAGUAAACAUUCCCAGCUUUCAAGGGAAAUCAUCACAAGAUAUAUUCAUGCCCACGAAGAAAUGAUAAAGGGAAAUACUGGGAAACUCUCUAAAAACUGC
rnacentral:lncRNA from 1 species